GGCUCGGUGGUGGAUGGUCCACAUCUGUCUCCUAUGUGGAACAUGACUGCAAGCAGAGAAGCCUGUUCGACUCGGGUCCGAGCCA